rnacentral:precursor_RNA from 9 species
UCACAUCGUGCUGCAUUGCCACAUUCUUUGCUGGGCAUGGCUCUAUGUCAUGCUAUCUAGUUUCAUGACUAGAUCCAUACUCAGCUAGGGGUGUGGCUCAGGCAGCUACGUUUAGA